GGGGGAAUAUUGCACAAUGGGGGAAACCCUGAUGCAGCGUCGCCGCGUGAGCGAAGAAGGCUUUCGAGUCGUAAAGCUCUGUCCUAUGAGAAGAUAAUGACGGUAUCAUAGGAGGAAGCCCUGGCUAAAUACGUGCCAGCAGCCGCGGUAAUACGUAUGGGGCGAGCGUUGUCCGGAAUUAUUGGGCGUAAAGGGUACGUAGGCGGUUUUUUAAGUCAGGUGUCAAAGCGUGGAGCUUAACUCCAUUAAGCACUUGAAACUGAAAGACUUGAGUGAAGGAGAGGAAAGUGGGAUUCCUAGGGUAGCAGUGAAAUGCGGAAAUAAUAGGAGGAAUACCGGUGGCGAAGGCGACUUUCUGGACUUUUACUGACGCUCAGGUACGAAAGCGUGGGGAGCAAACAGG
rnacentral:rRNA from 1 species